AGGUCCAUGCAUGUGGGCCAAUGGGGAUAUGGGGGUGGGGGGUGGGGGAGAUGAAGGCAGACCUGAGCUGCAUGGACAGGAACAGUGGCCUAUCAUCGCUCCCUAGUGUCUGUGCUAUUGAAGACGCUUGUCCUGAAGAUGGGGGACCACCUGAAGAGGUGCCCAGGGAACAGACUCCCCUUAAAACUUGACAAGGAUAUUUCCUGGGACCUAGGCCCAGCCUUAUUAGAGCUCUGGAGAUUCAAACUCAGGUCCUCAUGCUUGGGUGGCACGUGCCUCAUCUGCUGAGCUCUUCUAUCUUUUUCUAUUCUCUGGAGAUCUAAUGAAUCCAGGUGGGAGGCUUGCCUGCCUGGUUCUGGUGAAAUCUUGGGUGAACAAGGGGAGACCAGCACCUUGCGACUUCAGGCACACACAGCCCUGCAAAUCAGUUUCCUCUCAGGCCCCUUGUCCAGGCCCUCAACUGAUGCCUUGCUGCCAACCACACUCAGUUUUGCUUCCUUGACCUGCCUUACCUGACUCCUUAGCUCUGACCUGCACCCC
rnacentral:lncRNA from 1 species